rnacentral:rRNA from 1 species
GAUCAUAGCAGAGGACUAACUUCUAUAUCAAUUGGAGGUUUAAACCAUAAUUUGUGGAUAAAAAAAUGAAACAAAGAAUCCAAGAUGGCGAAAGCCUAUAUCUGAGAAACCAAACCUGCAGAACUGAAACAUCAAAAUAAGCAGAGGAAAAGAAAUCAACAGAGAUUUAUAGAGUAGUGGCGAACGAAAUAUAAAAAGUCUAAAGAGAUAGAAAGUGCUAUGCACCUAGCGUAGCGCAGGGGCGUCCCUUUGUGGACUGCUCAACUACAAUUAUAUAACUAAAUUGAAUUAUGACCAAAGAUGGUGAUAGUCCAGUAAAUAAUUAUAAUAUCUCGUAGUCCUACGGACGAGCCUUUGGGCUCUAUAGUAAGGAUCAAUGAUCCGGAAUAAUGGGGUACCAUCCUCAAAGACUAAAUAUGAUAUAGAAAGUGAUAGCGAAAAGUACUGUAAAGGAACAGAUUGAAAAGAAGUAAGAAGGAAACUUCAGUAGAUAACUAGUGAAAUAGAACCCGAAACAGUGAUUCUAUAAGUAGGGAACGAAAUGAAUAAGUCUAUCCCGUACCUUUUGCAUAAUGGGUCAGCAAGUUGAAAAUAUAAGCGAGAUUAAAAAUCGAAAUAAAAAUAGUGGAAGUUGUCUGCCGACACAGUCGCUGACGCUUUAGUUAAUAUUUUCAGACCCGAAAGCUAGUGAUCUUACCAUGAUCAAGUAAUAAGACUGAACCUAAGUUUGUAGCAAUAAACAAGGAAGAAUUAUGGUAAGGGGCGAAAGACCAAUCAAACUAGCAGAUAGCUGGCAUUCCGCGAAAACUAUAAAAGUAGAACGUUUAAAGAUAAAUAUUAUCAGUAUAGCGCUGGAUUGUAUCUAAUCUAAAAAAGAUAAUAGUUAAAACUUUAAAUAGUCAGUCUUAAGGGGAUAAGCUCAUAAGACAAAAGGGAAAAAGCCCAGAGCCUAAAAUAAGGUCCCUAAUAAAUGAUUAAGUGAAAUAAAGAGCGUCAGAAUAAAAAAACGACCGAGAAGUGGGCUUGGAGACAGUCAUCUUUUAAAGAAAACGUAAAAGUUCAAGGAGUAGAUUGCCUACGGCUGAAUUAUUUAUUGCCCCUUGGGCUAUAGGAUUCUUGGCAUCGAAAAUGUAAGGGUCUAAAAUCAUUAACCGAAAUAAGGUGAGCAGGGCAUAGCCCGCUCCGUAGCGGAACAAUCAAUAAAUGGAAAAUAUUUGAAGAGAUAAUGCUGACAUGAGUAACAAAAAUGAAUGUUAAAAUCAUUCUACGCUUUUAAAGAUAGGUUAAAUAGAGAAAGGAUAAACCACUCUAAUAAAAUACGGUCUCUAAGAUUUCGAUGAGGACUCACCUAUAACAAUAUUUGGUAUUACCACCUGUUAUUUAAAUAAGGUUAAUAUAAACUAACUGAAGGAUAUUCCUAUCAGAAGGUAUUAAUCCAGGAAAAUAUAGCAGUCUAUGACUGCAGCGCAUUGUUGAUGCUAUAAAACCGUUCUAAAACCGACACAGGUUCUUAAAUAUAGCGUAUCAGAUAAUCAUUUUUAAGGAACUCGGCAAAUUACCUCUGUAACUUCGGGAUAAAGAGGGGUGGACUUCACCGGCACAGAAUAGAAGAGAACAACUGUUUACUAAAAACACAGCACUUUGCUAAUAGAAAUAUUAAUAGUAUAAAGUGUGAAACCUGCCCAGUGCAAGUAUGUGAAUAAUGAUAGUAAAAUAUGCUUGAAUAAUAAACACUUGUUAACGGCGGUUCUAACUAUGAGGAUCCUAAGGUAGCAAAAUCCAUUGUCAUCUAAUUAGUGACCUGCAUGAAUGGUAUAAUGACUUCUCUUACUGUCUCAAAAAUGAACUGAGUGAAAUUACAAUAUCCGUGCAGAUGCGGAUUACCAUUAGUUAGACGGGAAGACCCUUUGAAGCUUUACUGUUAAUAAAGAAUUUAAUAUCUGUGACUAGGGCCUAUGGCCCGGUACUAGUACUACAAUUUAGGCUUAUGAAUAACAUUUUACCUAAAUUUGGUUGAGAUAUAAAGGUUUAUCUUUAUAAGACAGUUUUCUUGGGAUGAGAUCCUCAUAAAUAGUAACUGAGGAGUUCUAAGCUCUAAAUAAACAGAAGUGAAAUCUGGGAAAGGUUUAGUCUUUCGGCAGUAUAAUGAUAAUUAGAGUUGACGUUAAGGAUUACAAUCCAAAUCGACACUUAAGUGGGACAUAAUGAACCGAUAAUAUCAAUAUGGAAUGGUUAUCGAUUAUCGGAUUAAGCUACUCAAGGGAUAACAGGCUAGUUAUGCACGAGAGUUCCUAUUGACUGCAUAGCUCGGCACCUCGAUGUCGACUCAUCUUAUCCUGGAGCUGUAGUUUGUUCCAAGGGUGUGAUUGUUCAUCACUUAAAAAGGUACGUGAGUUGGGUUAAAUACGUCGUAAGACAGUAUGGAUCCUAUCUUCUAAUGGAAUUACAAUAUAUAAAAUAGUUUAACGUAGUACGAAAGGAAUCGUUUAAGUUAAUCCAUAGUUUAGGUUUAAACCCUAGCCACAUUAAUAGAAAAAUAACUACUGAAAGCAUAUAAAGUAGGAAUUAAAAUUUUAGAAAUUGU